AGAGCGAACGCUGGCGGCAGGCCUAAUACAUGCAAGUCGAACGGAUCCUUCGGGAUUAGUGGCGGACGGGUGAGUAACACGUGGGAACGUACCCUUUGGUUCGGAACAACUCAGGGAAACUUGAGCUAAUACCGAAUGUGCCCUUCGGGGAAAAGAUUUAUCGCCAUUGGAGCGGCCCGCGUCUGAUUAGCUAGUUGGUAGGGUAAAGGCCUACCAAGGCUACGAUCAGUAGCUGGUCUGAGAGGAUGAUCAGCCACACUGGGACUGAGACACGGCCCAGACUCCUACGGGAGGCAGCAGUAGGGAAUCUUGCGCAAUGGGCGAAAGCCUGACGCAGCCAUGCCGCGUGAAUGAUGAAGGUCUUCGGGUUGUAAACCUCUUUCAGCAGGGACGAUUGUGACGGUACCUGCAGAAGACGCCCCGGCAACUACGUGCCAGCAGCCG
rnacentral:rRNA from 1 species